rnacentral:misc_RNA from 1 species
GAAAGUUAUGGUUAGAGGCAUUUGGAUGAGUUUUGAGUCUGGAGGCUUCCAGAGAGCUUUCCUGUAUACAUUUCCUUGCAAUCCUUCUUUGUCGUAAAGACACGACUCUUAUGUCAUAAUCCUUCAUUACAAGCUUCUGCUUCUCUAACCCACAACACACACCCACCCACUGAACCACCUCCACCACCACCAUAUUGCCACCAUCUUAUUAACCAUCGCCCGAAAACUCUCUUCAACCUUUAAAACCAAGCUCAGCGAUCUAGCUACAGAGACAGAGAAGGAACGGAAGCCAAGAUGUAUAGGGACGUUUCCAGCUGCAAAACUUACGACUAUGGUGAUGCUUUGUAUUGGGAU